rnacentral:rRNA from 1 species
GGGCCCGCACAAGCGGUGGAGCAUGUGGUUUAAUUCGAUGCAACGCGAAGAACCUUACCAAGACUUGACAUACUGCGAAUUUUUCUGAGAAGAAAAAGUGCCUUCGGGAAUGCAGAUACAGGUGGUGCAUGGCUGUCGUCAGCUCGUGUCGUGAGAUGUUGGGUUAAGUCCCGCAACGAGCGCAACCCUUAUUUUUAGUUACUAAUUUUAUUAGGUUCUCUAGAAAGACUGCCGGUGAUAAACCGGAGGAAGGUGAGGAUGACGUCAAGUCAGCAUGCCCCUUAUGUCUUGGGCUACACACGUGCUACAAUGGUUAAGACAAAAGUUGCUACUCUGUGAAGAGAUGCUAAUCUUAUAAACUUAGCCUAAGUUCAGAUUGUAGGCUGCAACUCGCCUACAUGAAGUUGGAAUC